GCAUUGGUGGUUCAGUGGUAGAAUUCUCGCCUCCGAAGUGGGAGACACGGAGCCGAUUCCUGGCCAAUCCA
rnacentral:tRNA from 1 species